rnacentral:rRNA from 1 species
ACACAUGCAAGUCGAACGAUGAAGCCCAGCUUGCUGGGUGGAUUAGUGGCGAACGGGUGAGUAACACGUGGGUGAUCUGCCCUGCACUUCGGGAUAAGCCUGGGAAACUGGGUCUAAUACCGGAUAGGACCUCGGGAUGCAUGUUCCGGGGUGGAAAGGUUUUCCGGUGCAGGAUGGGCCCGCGGCCUAUCAGCUUGUUGGUGGGGUAACGGCCCACCAAGGCGACGACGGGUAGCCGGCCUGAGAGGGCGACCGGCCACACUGGGACUGAGACACGGCCCAGACUCCUACGGGAGGCAGCAGUGGGGAAUAUUGCACAAUGGGCGCAAGCCUGAUGCAGCGACGCCGCGUGAGGGAUGACGGCCUUCGGGUUGUAAACCUCUUUCAGUACCGACGAAGCGCAAGUGACGGUAGGUACAGAAGAAGCACCGGCCAACUACGUGCCAGCAGCCGCGGUAAUACGUAGGGUGCGAGCGUUGUCCGGAAUUACUGGGCGUAAAGAGCUCGUAGGCGGUUUGUCGCGUCGUCUGUGAAAACCCGCAGCUCAACUGCGGGCUUGCAGGCGAUACGGGCAGACUUGAGUACUGCAGGGGAGACUGGAAUUCCUGGUGUAGCGGUGAAAUGCGCAGAUAUCAGGAGGAACACCGGUGGCGAAGGCGGGUCUCUGGGCAGUAACUGAC